CCCCUCUCAGGAUCACAUCUGGAGAGCUGCCAGUACUCUACCAGUGAUGGAUACCGGAGGGAAAGUCAAGCAGAGGCCUGCCCAUCCCAUUCCUAGCUCGGGCAAUGGCUAGCGAGUGGAAGGCAAACUGCUACAAGU